rnacentral:ncRNA from 1 species
UACCUGGUUGAUCCUGCCAGUAGCAUAUGCUUGUCUCAAAGAUUAAGCCAUGCAAGUCUAAGUACGCACGGUCGGUACAGUGAAACUGGGAAUGGCUCAUUAAAUCACUUAUGGUUCCUUUGAUCGCUCUA